rnacentral:lncRNA from 1 species
GAGAAUUUAAUUCCUAGCUGAAUUGGUUCGAACGCGUUUCUGGGACUUUUACCCUCUGUUUUGUCUUCUAACGCUGGGUGAAGAAACUGUGCAACAUGCCCAGAUCAUACAACAAGGAAGUAAUGGAAUUGAGAUUCUAUCCUGGGCGCCAAGCCAUUGCUCUAAAUCUCUAUGCUGCACAAGAUACAGCUGAGUAAAGAUUAGUAACAACAAAAAAAAACAACAAAAAAAGACAAGUCCCAGGGAAGGUUCCUGUGAGUCUUUAUGAUCCACUGGCCAUAAAUUAGAGAGAGGCAAUGAAGACUAAAUGCGGAGAGAUCCAGUUUGCUUCCUAGUCUUAGUACAUUGCCAUCUAGGCAUGAGUAGUCUCCUUGUCUCCGUUGUCUGAGAAUGCUAUCCUCUGGCUCUGAGGUCCAGAGCCACUAAGAGAGAAUGCUGACUUGAUGUCAGAAAAUCAAGACAAGGUCUAGUUUAAUUAUGGAACAUGAAACAAAAACUUUACUCCUCUUUUGAAGUAAAAAUGCAAAUCUGUUCCGUUUUAGAGUGGGAUUUCCCUCCUUUGUUAUAUGGCUUUUAAAUUACUCAUGUUCUUUACAAAUCAAAUAAAUAAAAGAUAAAAAGAAAAAUAAAUAUGCCAGUAGAUAUUCAUGUUUUCUUUGGGCCACUGUAAAUGGUUUAAGGGCAAAUCAACAAAUUUCAUUUGUUUAGGUUUUUUUUUGAGACGAGUCUCGUUCUUUUGCCCAGGCUGGAGUGCAGUGACGCGAUCUCGGCUCACUGCAAGCUCCGCCUCCGGGUUCACGCCGUUCUCCUUCCUCAGCCUCCGGAGUAGCUGGGAUUACAGGCGCAUGUCACCAUGCCCGGCUAAUUUUUGUAUUUUUAGUAGAGACGGGGUUUCACUGUGUUAGCCAGGAUGGUCUCGAUCUCCUGACCUCAUGAUCCGCCUGCCUCGGCCUCCCAAAGUGCUGGGAUUACAGAUGUAAGCCACUGGGCCAGGCCCCUCAUUUGUUUAGUUUUAUAAAAUUAACUCUUAAAUUCUGGGAUUGGUCAGAGUGACAGAAUGAAGAGAUAUUGGAGUAUAUCACUGUUGGGGCACUCUGUGGAAUAGAGAAGAUUGCUAUUUGGGCCGAGCGUGGUGGGUCAUGGCUGUAAUCCCAGCACUUUGGGAGAUCGAGGUAGGAGGAUCACUUGAGCCCAGGAAU